UUGCCAGGGUGGAGGGUUUAGGUUUGUGUACAUAAGGUCGUGUGCUCGGCUUCUUCUUUUUUUUUUCUGGAAGUGCACCGCUCCGCCUCCUCUCUUCGCAACAUUGACGCAAUGUAUAAAUACUGGAACAAAAGGACAACUUCCUUGAAGCUUUGCUGAAACUGCAUUAAAAAAAGAGGCGCGAGGCGUCAUUGUCAGGUAGAUGGAAGUCUUGAACUGGAAUAUAAAUUUGCCUUUUGAAGAGGCGGACCGACGUGCACAUUCGAAUAGUGCAGCGCUUUCCAGGUUUCCCUAGCGCUCAAGCUGACUUCAGACAUCGGGCUUAAAAGUUGCUCAACACGUCCAUCAACUCCAGGUGAGCGUGUCACCUGGGAGGGUGUGGCAGGCUUUUCUGCUGGCAGGUAUGGUGAAACGGGAGGGGCCGGAUUCACCUCUCGCUCUCGGAGGUGUCUUCUGAAAAAGGGGAGAGGUCAUGUGGUCAGCCCAGUCAGUUCGCAUGUUGGAUGUCUUCAGUCUCCCACGGGAAGAUGAGGUUUAUACUCUCUAUGAUUUUUCAGGUGAGUAAAAUAGUCGUUUUUUUCUUUGGGGGAAGGGGGGGGGGGGGGGGCGGGAGCAGCAAAGAUUGCCCUGCUGUGUAUAAAAUGAGUCGUGACAGUUUUGUUUCGUAUGUUUGUUUCACCAAAAAAAAAAAAGAAAA